GUGAGUGUAGCUCAGUUGGUUAGAGCAUCAGACUGUGGAUCUGAGGGUCGGGGGUUCGAAUCCCCUCACUCACCCCA
rnacentral:tRNA from 1 species